AAAGAUUAAGCCAUGCAUGUCUAAGCAUAAACCGAAUAUGGUAAAGCCGCGAAUGGCUCAUUACAACAGCCAUAGUUUAUUGGAUCUUAGAGUCCUACUUGGUUACCUGUGGUAAUUCUAGAGCUAAUUCACGCAAUCAAGCCCCAACCUUACGGGCGGGGCGCAUUUAUUAGAACAAAACCAAUUGGCUUCGGCCAUAGCUUGGUGAAUCUGAAUAACUACGCUGAUCGCACGGGCUUGUCCCGGCGACGUAUCCUUCAAGUGUCUGCCUUAUCAACUUUCGAUGGUAGUUUAUAUGACUACCAUGGUUGUAACGGGUAACGGAGAAUAAGGGUUCGACUCCGGAGAGGGAGCCUGAGAAACGGCUACCACAUCCAAGGAAGGCAGCAGGCGCGCAAAUUACCCACUCUCAGAACGAGGAGGUAGUGACGAAAAAUAACGAGACAGUUCUCUAUGAGUUCUGUCAUCGGAAUGGGUACAAUCUAAACCCUUUAACGAGGAUCUAUUGGAGGGCAAGUCUGGUGCCAGCAGCCGCGGUAAUUCCAGCUCCAAUAGCGUAUAUUAAAGUUGUUGCGGUUAAAAAGCUCGUAGUUGGAUCUGCGGUCACAGACGCUGGUUUCCUUCACGGAAUACUGGUUGUCUUGACCUACCUUGCUGGUUUUCCCUUGGUGCUCUUUACUGAGUGCCCUGGGUGGCUAGCACGUUUACUUUGAAAAAAUUAGAGUGCUUAACGCAGGCUUUUGCCUGAAUAGUGGUGCAUGGAAUAAUGGAAUAGGACCUCGGUUCUAUUUUGUUGGUUUUCGGAGCACGAGGUAAUGAUUAAUAGGGACAGACGGGGGCAUUCGUAUUGCUGCGCUAGAGGUGAAAUUCUUGGAUCGUAGCAAGACGACCUACUGCGAAAGCAUUUGCCAAGAAUGUUUUCAUUAAUCAAGAACGAAAGUUAGAGGUUCGAAGGCGAUCAGAUACCGCCCUAGUUCUAACCGUAAACGAUGUUAACUAGCGACUCGCAGGUGUUACUUUAACGGCCCUGCGAGGAGCUCCCGGGAAACCUAAGUGUUCGAAUUCCGGGGGAAGUAUGGUUGCAAAGCUGAAACUUAAAGGAAUUGACGGAAGGGCACCACCAGGAGUGGAGCUUGCGGCUUAAUUUGACUCAACGCGGGGAAACUCACUUGGUCAGGACACUGUAAGGAUUGACAGAUUGAAAGCUCUUUCUUGAUUCGGUGGAUGGUGGUGCAUGGCCGUUCUUAGUUGGUGGAGUGAUUUGUCUGGUUAAUUCCGAUAACGAGCGAGA
rnacentral:rRNA from 1 species